rnacentral:rRNA from 1 species
AUUGAACGCUGGCGGCAGGCUUAACACAUGCAAGUCGAACGAGUUGCGGACGGGUGAGUAAUGUCUGGGAAACUGCCUGAUGGAGGGGGAUAACUACUGGAAACGGUAGCUAAUACCGCAUACCAUCAGAUGUUCCCAGAUGGGAUUCGCUAGUUGGUGGGGUAACAGCUCACCAAGGCGACGAUCCCUAGCUGGUCUGAGAGGAUGACCAGCCACACUGGAGCUGAUACACGUACCAGAGUCCUACGGGAGGAAGCAGUGGGGAAUAUUGCACAAUGGGCGCAAGCCAGAUGCAGCCAUGCCGCGUGUAUGAAGAAGGCCUUCGGGUUGUAAAGUGCUUUCAGCGGGGAGGCGUUACCCGAAGAAGAAGCACCGGCUAAAUCCGUGCCAGCCGCCGCGGUAAUAC